CAUACCACGUGAUCAUCCUCGCGGACGGAGAGCUGUCGGUCGGGAAAGAAAUAAACAGCAGGAAGCAGGAGGGAAAUGGUGUUGGUAUGGGCUGAGAGGUUUUACAUACAUUUGGUGCACAUCAGAAAAUACAAAUUUGAAACUUAGAGUCCCGUGUUUGCAGUAAACGGGAAAAUGCCUCAUCUCGCGAUCGGUCUGCGUGGACGUUCAGAUGUAAUCUCAAUAAUUGUGACAGAAUUACUCAAUUCAUCAGGACCUGGAUAUUCGCUUUGUGUGUAAAUAUCAGGAUCGUGUUGGAACAUUCUCCACUUGUCUGCAUCAGUGCAUCCCCCAACAAUUUUAAAGAAAGUGACUAUCCUCCAGGACAAAGCACUGUGCCUGAGUGGUGUCCCAUCCACCAUCUUCAGCAUUCCCUCUCUCCACCC